UCUGGCUCAGAUUGAACGCUGGCGGCAGGCCUAACACAUGCAAGUCGAGCGGUAGCACAGAGGAGCUUGCUCCUUGGGUGACGAGCGGCGGACGGGUGAGUAAUGUCUGGGAAACUGCCUGAUGGAGGGGGAUAACUACUGGAAACGGUAGCUAAUACCGCAUAACCUCGCAAGAGCAAAGAGGGGGACCUUAGGGCCUCUCGCCAUCAGAUGUGCCCAGAUGGGAUUAGCUAGUAGGUGAGGUAAUGGCUCACCUAGGCGACGAUCCCUAGCUGGUCUGAGAGGAUGACCAGCCACACUGGAACUGAGACACGGUCCAGACUCCUACGGGAGGCAGCAGUGGGGAAUAUUGCACAAUGGGCGCAAGCCUGAUGCAGCCAUGCCGCGUGUGUGAAGAAGGCCUUCGGGUUGUAAAGCACUUUCAGCGAGGAGGAAGGCGGUAAGGUUAAUAACCUUAUCGAUUGACGUUACUCGCAGAAGAAGCACCGGCUAACUCCGUGCCAGCAGCCGCGGUAAUACGGAGGGUGCAAGCGUUAAUCGGAAUGACUGGGCGUAAAGCGCACGCAGGCGGUCUGUUAAGUUGGAUGUGAAAUCCCCGGGCUUAACCUGGGAACUGCAUUCAAAACUGACAGGCUAGAGUCUUGUAGAGGGGGGUAGAAUUCCAGGUGUAGCGGUGAAAUGCGUAGAGAUCUGGAGGAAUACCGGUGGCGAAGGCGGCCCCCUGGACAAAGACUGACGCUCAGGUGCGAAAGCGUGGGGAGCAAACAGGAUUAGAUACCCUGGUAGUCCACGCUGUAAACGAUGUCGAUUUGGAGGUUGUGCCCUUGAGGCGUGGCUUCCGGAGCUAACGCGUUAAAUCGACCGCCUGGGGAGUACGGCCGCAAGGUUAAAACUCAAAUGAAUUGACGGGGGCCCGCACAAGCGGUGGAGCAUGUGGUUUAAUUCGAUGCAACGCGAAGAACCUUACCUACUCUUGACAUCCAGAGAAUUCGCUAGAGAUAGCUUAGUGCCUUCGGGAACUCUGAGACAGGUGCUGCAUGGCUGUCGUCAGCUCGUGUUGUGAAAUGUUGGGUUAAGUCCCGCAACGAGCGCAACCCUUAUCCUUUGUUGCCAGCGAUUCGGUCGGGAACUCAAAGGAGACUGCCGGUGAUAAACCGGAGGAAGGUGGGGAUGACGUCAAGUCAUCAUGGCCCUUACGAGUAGGGCUACACACGUGCUACAAUGGCGUAUACAAAGAGAAGCGACCUCGCGAGAGCAAGCGGACCUCAUAAAGUACGUCGUAGUCCGGAUUGGAGUCUGCAACUCGACUCCAUGAAGUCGGAAUCGCUAGUAAUCGUAGAUCAGAAUGCUACGGUGAAUACGUUCCCGGGCCUUGUACACACCGCCCGUCACACCAUGGGAGUGGGUUGCAAAAGAAGUAGGUAGCUUAACCUUCGGGAGGGCGCUUACCACUUUGUGAUUCAUGACUGGGGUGAAGUCGUAACAAGGUAACCGUAGGGGAACCUGCGGCUGGACC
rnacentral:rRNA from 1 species